GUAUCCUGGGUGAUAAUAGUACAACGAUUUUGAGCAUAGAACAAAAUAAAACCAUAAUAUCUGUUAGAACUAUUAGUAUUCUCUAAAAAUUGUUUUCUGUGUUCGAGACGUGAACCAACGAGCUCAAAUCAUUCCAGGAUAGUUUCUUGUGGGUGCAUAAUUUUAUCGUUUUUAAACGGUCUGUAAGCGGUUGAUAAUUUUAACAGAAAAUCCGAGAGCCAAAGAAAAGUGUUUGAGCGUAAAGUAGUUAAACAACAAAAUAAAGGUAUACAUUGGGUAGGCCUGUUCACAUUUACACCACACACAUAUAAUUUAAUAAUUAAGAUCUUGUAGAAUAUUUAAACAAUAAUGUUUUUAUGCGCACUAUUGUUAUAAAUUCAACCCUAAAAUCGGAUCAUCUGAAGAAUAACAAUUUGUUUUGGGAUCACUUUAAGCUGAAUAUUAUCACCUGAAGGUUGCAAGGUGAAAAGCUUAAUAUUAAAAGAGAAAUUUGAUACCAAAAUGGAUUCCGUGACAUUUUCUUCUGCCUUCUGUUUUUGUAAAGUUAACUAUCACAAGUUAUCGGAAGUAAUAUAAAUUUAUAUUCAUAUAAAUUACCAACCUCAUCAUCUUCACUGACUAAUGUAAUGUCACUCUUUUGGUCAUUAGUGAGAACUAUUUUUGGUUUCGGUGAUGGAAGUGACGAAGAUAUGUCCUUUAAGCAUGAUGACCUCAUUUUACUGAAUUAAUUAACCUAUGUACUUGUAUAGCGAGUUGCAUGGAAGGUUUAUGCAAGAAUGGUCUAAACAAGUGUAAUGAACGACGAAAUUUUGUUAGACUAUUAAAAUGAUUAAAAUCAAUAUCCAUUGGUUAUUGUUGUCUAACUUCCAGGGCCCAUUUGUUAUAUUACAUUCGCGGGGGAAUUACAUACACAUACUGCGAGGGUAAUAAUGGUCUUGGUUAUGUUACUACGUAGUUUAAUUUAAUCUUAUGCAUUAAGACAUAGUAUCAUUAAUCAGAAAUAGGUAAAAAAAUCUUUAUCAUUGUGAAAUAGAUAUCAUUUCAAUGUCAGUUGUCGCUUUAUAAUAGUCAGUAAUUAUUUAUAUUACAAUGUAAGGGUUAACGUCUGGUGCGACUUUUAUUACAAUGCGAUUUUCAAUGUGUUGGUGAGUAACAACAUAGUGUAUUAUAAUAAAUCUAUAGACUAUCUUUGUAUUGCGGCGUCACCUGUCCACAGUUUCUCUAGAACAUUAUGUGAGCCUAAAAGCUUUUCCUUACUGUUAUGAAAGCUACACUACUGUUAAGUUUCUUUACAAUCUCUUCCAUAUUUAUUUUUUGUACUAAUAAUAAUGUUGGUGUAAAUCGGCCGCUUUUUUGCAUCAGACAUGUGAAAUUGUUUUAGCAGAACGUAAUUAUAGUUAUAAUCAUGAAGUCUUGAGUGUAAUUCAUGUACAACGAUGAAGAAAAUUAUAAGUUGAGUCAACGUCGCGUGUCACAACUAAAUAUCGGGAGUUCAUGUUCUGUAUAUAAUUAGUAGUGCUGUUUGAGUGAGAAGUGAAUUAAAAUCAUGUAAUACUACUGUAGGAGAUCGUCCAUAUGAGUUUUUGGAAUAAUCAUAAGAAAAAAAUAUAUAUUAUUGUUCAGUUAGUCAAGCUUCGUAUGUCUUUAAAUUUUUUGUUGCGGACUUUACGAACGGCUAAGUAAUUCGACACGCAAUAACGUUGUAUUAUUCAAGGACUUUCUUAAUUCUCGCGAUCAGCGCGUGGACUACAUGUACGUCCUUCCUUCAGAUGAUUAACCUGGAUUUCUUUGUGUCGCCUUUUCCAGGUCAAUCACAGACAGUUAUACCUCAGGCGGUAGUGUUGGUGACAGACUCUUGUUCUUGGAGAACAGACUGGUGCGACGGCUAGAGGAUCCCUCGGACGAGCGACGACAAGCACCAACGAUCCAGCGGUUGAAAGCGCUGCAGCAGCUGCAAGGAAGAACAGUUGUAAAGAUUUGUGAAGUAUUCCCUAAACUGGCUGGCGCUAAACUGUCAUAUCUCACCUGGAUGUCGGCUGCUCGCUGAGGAUACUGUCCCUCCUCUCGAUCUCCCUCCUCUUCCCGCAGCAUCCUCCCUCCUGGACCACGUCCGAUGUCGUGACGGGUGGCGACACGUCCACGGCACGCGGCUCCGACACGUCGGCGACACGGUCACGACGACAACACCCACAUAACACGUCUCGUAUUUUACGUUUUCUUUUCGUUUCGCUUUCAAACUCUAUCGUAGUUCCCUGGUGGAAGAAUUUUGAUAUCUAUGUACUAAUAAAAGUGAAAAAAAUCUCUUCGAAGUGAAAAUUUUAAAUUCGACAAAAUUAUGUUUCAAUAUAUACUCUAUAUUCACCUUGCUAGAUAUAGCUGAUGUUAUUCAUUGUAGAAUUACAACAACACAAACACUCCUAGAGUCGAGCAAAGUACUUUUGUUUUUGAUUUAGUUAAAAUGUUUAACAUUUUUUUCUAGGAGUUGACUUAGAACUUGAGUUAAAAAUUACACCAACAGUUCAUUGUUAAUUUUGGGUCCAAGUAAUAUUUAUCAUCUGUGUCUCAGUUUGAAAUGAAUAAUUUUGCGUUUUAAAUCAUCGUAGUAAUAAAGUUCUGUUUCUAUACAAUACUCACUUUCCCAGCUGCAGCUUCUAUAUCUUCUUCAGGAAUCUUCUUCUUGAAGCAGUUCAAUCUCUGGAGAAAAUGUUUUUUCGCUGGUUGCUCCUCGUCUAUGUCUCUUUGUUCUUCUAUCCCAUCUAAUUGUGUUUUGGUGCAACAGGAGCACGCAGUUCUACAUUUUCCAAUAAACCUGGUACAAAUGUUCGUCUUGGCGGUUCCGUCCUGGGGCGCCUGUGCCUCCUGAGCUGGUGGUGAUUUAUCUUUCGCUUCUCGAUGUGCUCGUGGCGGUGGUUUUGGUGUGGUGCUCGUACUUUGAGGGAACCUGGCCGAUAUUGUUUGAUCAACGGACAAUGCUUAUUACACAUGGUUCAAUUGAAACGAACUAGUUUGAAUUAUGCCAGUUAAUGUGAGGUAGGUCAACUUAAAAGAAAACGUAGCUAACUGGUUUAAAGUAACUUUCUUCUUAGUUAAGUUAUUGUAUUUUCAUUUAUUAAUUCAAUAUAUGAUUAAAAUCAUAUCACUGAAA